ACAAAUUAUUUUUCGUUUAUAAAUACAUUAUUUUUUUAAUGAAAAAGUCAAUGAAUCACCAUCAUACUUUAGCGUCCUCGCCGUAUCAAAGCUGGCGGUACGAGUACAAAUUUUAAGCCAAGCAGUCAAGCGGAUGACGCGUGAAAUGAAUUAGUAGCAUCCUCGUCCGACUCGACUACCCACCCACACCGCCACACGACCGUGCAGCCGCUCGAUCCGCUGCAUCAUCGGCUCGACUCGACUCGACACCUAAUCUCCUAUCCUACGACGUCGCGUCGCGUCCAUUUUUUUUCACCGUGUUACCCACUCACCAACCACGCGUCGCGCGCGCCGAAAGCCUCUCCUCAGUCGCCCGCGCACGCGGAGCGAAACCGGUACGCCGUACGCGCGCGCUGGUGAUCGAUCGAUCGAUCAGCGAGCGAGCGAGCCGCGAACCCCCAUCCAUCCACCAACCGGCCCCUCGUGC
rnacentral:lncRNA from 1 species